UCAGUAAAGUUAUGUCUGGGUCAGCGCUGUUCAAGAAAUUCUUCCAUUCUCUUGACCUGGGCUUUUAAAACACAACCCUAUACUUCAUGCGCACUGCUGAAACGGAUCCGCAUAAUUAUAACAUCAUUCGUCCUCGCCUUGGAGAAGAUUUGCCCUUCGCUGAGCACUGUCAUAAAGAAUCUGCUGCGUGUUGAAGAUCUGAAUGAUUUAGCAAUCAAGAUGCUGCGUAUCACAACCAAACAGCAUGAACGUCGACCAUUUCACCAAGCGGGCUCCGCUUGUUUGAUGAUGAUCCAGUUCAUUUAGUGCGUGCAUUGUUAACCCCAAAUCGGCGAAAAGGGUGAGGCAAAACAAUCAGCUUAUUCAAAAGCUGUCAUAUUAAGAUGAAACAUUUGGUAUGUAGCAUCUGGUUUUCAGAACUGGCUGAGUAUGGCAAAAUUCUAAAAAUUAGCAACGAUGUUAGACAUCCAAAAUUCAAACGAAGAAAUGAAUUAUUCUAGAUUCACCACUUUUACUAUCGAAGGGAGCUGGAAGUUACCGACAAAAAUGGUGUUGCAACCACAAUUUAAGAAACAUCGUUGACAAAGCUAUUCCGAUGUGCACUCGCUGUGCUCAUUCUCCCACACGCGGUGCAUAAGACCGGCAAUGACUUCAUUCUAGACUCGGUUUUGAUGGUUAAAUAAUCUGAAAACAACAUCCGAUUGAUUGUUGCAAAAUGCUCCAGCUGCAAUUAACUACAACUACUUUUUUCACUAUUUACGAGAAAGGCGGCCGUUCUUAUUGGAUGCCGUUAAACCACCCUUUACCCAAUGGAACAGGAGGGUCGCAUUAUAAAAAAGGAAUACGACGAGCAAUUCACGGUGGCGAAAUUCCUUUCGUUACAGUUUGUCUAGACAACGCUGGCGAACAAUCUGGUUAGGCGACCAAGGCACUGAUUCGAUUUAUUUUAGAGGUGGAUGCGGUAGAGUUAUAAGACUUCAAAUAAGGA